rnacentral:lncRNA from 1 species
AGGGAGAUUAUUCUGAGCUGUCAGGGUAGACUCCCAAACACAGUCACAUGUAUCCUUAUGAGCAGAAGGCCGAGGGAGGUUUGACAUACAGGAUGUGUGAAGGCAGGAUGCCUUCUGAUUUCUGUUUUGGAAUACACAUGUAAUGGCUGAUACUCCAGCAACCACCUUGGGACUAUAAAGAACAAUGCAGACUUCCAUUCUACCAUUCUUGAAUUGCUGAAUGAAUUCCAGCAGCCACUACCUCCAGAUAUCUCACUAUGAGAAAGCUAUGUGGUUGGCUGAGGGGUCUGCAGACCCCCACCCCUGACAUCCCAGGCCUGCUUCCUUCCAUCUCCUCAGAGCUGGGACCACGUGGGGCCCUGGGCAACCCCACAGGCACAGACCUCUCCAGAAGGAUCAUUGGCCACAUUUUCUGGUCUCCG